rnacentral:lncRNA from 1 species
AGGAUGGGUGGGGUCUGAGCCAAGGAUCUGUUGAGGCCCAUCUCCUCUGCAGAGUCUGCGCAUGUGCUGUGUGUGUGUGUGCGUGCGUGCGUGUGUGUGUGUGUGCACGCGCAUGUGAGCUCACCACCUCUACUGAGUGGACACAGGUUGCAGAUCCAGAGGUCAGAGGCUGCUUGCUGUGCCCUUCCUGGUGUCCCUGGGAACCAAGAGGAUCAAGAGCAGGCUCUCUCCAGUCCCCAUGACUGUCUUCCCCAGCUGUAUUCAGAAGGCCGUGGAUGUCUCCUCAGCAACCCCCCAACCCUGCGUCCUUCUCAUCAGAUGUCCUGAUGGGAGUCGUGUAGCUAACCUGAAGUGCUAUACUGCCUUCCUUUAGUGACACUCAGAAGAAAAUUAAAUCUUAGGGUCAGCCGUCUUUUGAAGGUAAUUGCUAUUUCAGAGUACCAUUUUGUUUCCUCUGGCAC